rnacentral:lncRNA from 1 species
GUUGCUGACACUAAAUGGCUACUUGCAGUGUUACUAUGGGGCUAACCUGUUAAGGGGCAGGCUCUUUGGGAUUUGUCAUGACUGUAAUGCUGUGUGUGGAUGACUCAGUUUGAACUUUCUCUAUUUGAACUUCUGAGAAAGCUUGCUUCUUACAGGGCUGUGAUAUUCUUUCAUUUUAGUUAACAUGGCCAUAUUACACCUUGGGAUUGGGUCUGCCUCCCUUUUCUCAUUAAUGUUUUUUUUUUUUUUUUCAUUUGGUAAUAAUUUUAUUUUAUUUUUAUUCUGUCAUGUCCAUUUAAGUUGUAUAAUACUUUCAGAUAUAGAAUUUGACAAAGUUCCUAUGGCAAAUAUGAAGCUGCAUAAAAUCUGCUUCCUGACCCAGA